GACGAACGCUGGCGGCGUGCUUAACACAUGCAAGUCGAACGGAAAGGCCCUGCUUUUGUGGGGUGCUCGAGUGGCGAACGGGUGAGUAACACGUGAGUAACCUGCCCUUGACUUUGGGAUAACUUCAGGAAACUGGGGCUAAUACCGGAUAGGAGCUCCUGCUGCAUGGUGGGGGUUGGAAAGUUUCGGCGGUUGGGGAUGGACUCGCGGCUUAUCAGCUUGUUGGUGGGGUAGUGGCUUACCAAGGCUUUGACGGGUAGCCGGCCUGAGAGGGUGACCGGCCACAUUGGGACUGAGAUACGGCCCAGACUCCUACGGGAGGCAGCAGUGGGGAAUAUUGCACAAUGGGCGGAAGCCUGAUGCAGCACCGCCGCGUGCGGGAUGACGGCCUUCGGGUUGUAAACCGCUUUCGCCUGUGACGAAGCGUGAGUGACGGUAAUGGGUAAAGAGGCACCGGCUAACUACGUG
rnacentral:rRNA from 1 species